rnacentral:rRNA from 1 species
AUGGCCGCCAUUGCUGCCGGCUGGCUGGCCGGCAAGCAGCCGGAGGACGACGACGUCCCAAUGGAGGACGCUGCCGACGACGAACCGGUGCCACCCUCCUCCUCCUCCGCGCCACCCUCGCUGGUGCAUUGCACCAUGCCCAUCAGCGAGGCCCAUGCCGAGCGGGAGGAGCAGUUCCGGGAGGCGCAUGCCGACACCCCAUACAACCACCACCUCCUCCAGGAGCACGUGCAGGCGGAGGAGCAGCUCGCUGCCGGCAGGGCGAUCGUGCCGGACACGGACCUGGCGGAGCAGGACGCGCUCCUUGAGUACUACCGCUCCGCCCGCAAGAUCCGCCUCGCCCGCUGGUGGUACCGCCAGCGGGUGGCGGAGGUGGCGGCCGCCUACAAGGAGUGUGACGACGCGGGCGAGGCGGUGUUCGGCGAGACCGACAACGAGGAGGAAAUCGUCGAGGCCGUGCCCCGCCGCGAUGACUACGAAGCUGACGCGUCCGCGGGCGCCGCCGGCAGCGAGGAAGAGUAG